rnacentral:rRNA from 1 species
GAACGCUGGCGGCGUGCCUAAUACAUGCAAGUCGAGCGGACAGAAGGGAGCUUGCUCCCGGAUGUUAGCGGCGGACGGGUGAGUAACACGUGGGUAACCUGCCUGUAAGACUGGGAUAACUCCGGGAAACCGGAGCUAAUACCGGAUAGUUCCUUGAACCGCAUGGUUCAAGGAUGAAAGACGGUUUCGGCUGUCACUUACAGAUGGACCCGCGGCGCAUUAGCUAGUUGGUGAGGUAACGGCUCACCAAGGCGACGAUGCGUAGCCGACCUGAGAGGGUGAUCGGCCACACUGGGACUGAGACACGGCCCAGACUCCUACGGGAGGCAGCAGUAGGGAAUCUUCCGCAAUGGACGAAAGUCUGACGGAGCAACGCCGCGUGAGUGAUGAAGGUUUUCGGAUCGUAAAGCUCUGUUGUUAGGGAAGAACAAGUGCAAGAGUAACUGCUUGCACCUUGACGGUACCUAACCAGAAAGCCACGGCUAACUACGUGCCAGCAGCCGCGGUAAUACGUAGGUGGCAAGCGUUGUCCGGAAUUAUUGGGCGUAAAGGGCUCGCAGGCGGUUUCUUAAGUCUGAUGUGAAAGCCCCCGGCUCAACCGGGGAGGGUCAUUGGAAACUGGGAAACUUGAGUGCAGAAGAGGAGAGUGGAAUUCCACGUGUAGCGGUGAAAUGCGUAGAGAUGUGGAGGAACACCAGUGGCGAAGGCGACUCUCUGGUCUGUAACUGACGCUGAGGAGCGAAAGCGUGGGGAGCGAACAGGAUUAGAUACCCUGGUAGUCCACGCCGUAAACGAUGAGUGCUAAGUGUUAGGGGGUUUCCGCCCCUUAGUGCUGCAGCUAACGCAUUAAGCACU